rnacentral:rRNA from 1 species
UACGGAAGGCAGCAGUGGGGAAUAUUGGACAAUGGGCGAAAGCCUGAUCCAGCCACGCCGCAUGAGUGAAGAAGGCCUUCGGGUUGUAAAGCUCUUUUAGUGAGAAAGAUAAUGACGGUACUCACAGAAGAAGUCCUGGCUAACUCCGUGCCAGCAGCCGCGGUAAUACGGAGAGGGCUAGCGUUAUUCGGAAUUAUUGGGCGUAAAGAGCGCGUAGGCUGAUUAGUAAGUUAAAAGUGAAAUCCCAAAGCUUAACUUUGGAAUUGCUUUUUAAAACUGCUAGUCUAGAGAUUGAAAGAGGAUAGAGGAAUUCCUAGUGUAGAGGUGAAAUUCGUAAAUAUUAGGAGGAACACCAGUGGCGAAGGCGUCUAUCUGGUUCAAAUCUGACGCUGAGGCGCGAAGGGCGUGGGGAGCAAACAGGGAUUUAGAUACC